rnacentral:rRNA from 1 species
UACGAAGGGGGCUAGCGUUGUUCGGAAUCACUGGGCGUAAAGGGCGCGUAGGCGGCCGAUCAAGUCGGGGGUGAAAGCCUGUGGCUCAACCACAGAAUUGCCUUCGAUACUGUUUGGCUUGAGACCGGAAGAGGUUAGUGGAACUGCGAGUGUAGAGGUGAAAUUCGUAGAUAUUCGCAAGAACACCAGUGGCGGAAGGCGGCUGACUGGUCCGGUUCU